ensembl:lncRNA
CCUUGGCAUGAAACUUUAUUAUAACUUAAACUAGUCAUUAUACGUAUUGUAGAGAACUAUAGAUUUAUUGUCCUCAGAAUAUGACUAAAAACACAUCCAUUAACAACUAAACAGCUGGCCACAUAACUGAGUACACUUAAUUAUGAACAUGACCAUUGCGCCCAUAGUGACAAUAAAUCUAUCGUAAUCUACAAACUCUACACGGACUUCUUUAAGUUACAUCAAAGUUUCAUGUCUAUAGAGUUAUCCCAUGAGAAGAUACAUUAAAACAUUUGAAAAAAUGGCUAGGGUUUUGUGAGAUACUGUAUAUGUACCAAUUUAGGUUAGGUGAACUCCUCACUGUUUCACAUAAUGAGUAAUGUGUUAAUUUUGUUUUGAAAGAUAAUUCCUACAAAUACUGAGUGAUGUAGUGGAUGGCUGGAAAGAAGAGGGGGUUUCUCUCAUAACAGCCUCUGCUAAUUGAAACUCCUCCAUUGUCCUCAGAGGCAGCUUGAUGGAUGAAGCGGCAGCUUCUGGUGCUACCGGCCUCACCAUCUCUCUCCUAAGCGCCCUCACUUCACUCCCCAGAUUGUCGUGCUGUUUUCCUUGGGGGGGGGUGGUGCCUCGUCAUCAGUGUCCACACCUUGAAGCAUAGUAAGUGCCAGUUUAGACAAAAUUGACAAAAUGGGCAGUCAAACAGCCGUUUCUGAAAUAUUUAUAUUUUAAUUUCUAAAAUGUUUCAUUGCUGUUCAGUUUAACUCUAAAGGUCUGCACCUUCAAAAAAGUGUUGCGGCGGGCCCGUAGUGGUCUGGACUCUUCCAGCUGGCUCCUGCAGGGUCUUCAGCCUCUGACUGUAUGUCUGAUGUUAAACACACUAACCAAGACCCUCACGUCACCAUGCACGUCCCACGCUGCACCUGGAGGAAGUUGGUGCGCGACUGCCUUCUGGAGGCGGUUAUGAUCGUAAGAACUAGGAGGCCAGAAACAAUUCCAUGACUCCCCUGCCUCCUCCAACCAGCUGCUUGGCACUAUGGUAGUGCUCCUAUCUUUGAAUUCGACGACCUUCCACACCUGUGCCAUCUGUCAAUGAGAAGACAAGGAAUUAGGAUUGGUGAAGAAGAGGGAUGGCAACAUAAUGGUCUUGGUCUGUGAAAAAGCACACAUUUUCUGCUGACAUCCCCAAGGAGCUCAACCUCAAGAUCAUCUACCAACGUAUGGACCUGAAAACAGCCUAUUCGAGAGGAGGGGCAGGGAUAUGUGAAAUGGGAUUCCUUGUACCCAAAUCGUCUGUAGAUGAUGAAGACUGAACCAGAGGAUAGCACAAUGUUUUGGACCAGUCCAAUAUCCUGUCCUACUGCUAUGCAGUUGUUCCCAGUGUUUGUUGACAGGCAGAAAUCUGUUGUUACUACCUUUCUGUACUGUUUGGCAGUACUGAAUUGCAGAGGCAAAGGACCAUCCUGGUGCAUUUCGUACAAAAGGGGCUGCUUACUUGGAGGUGGAGUAACAGUUUGAGGCACCUCUGACAGUCUCUUGACUACCUGUUGUAAUGGUAGUUGAGGCUUUCGCAUUUUUUUUUUUACUUUUCCAUGGAAGUUUUCAUAAGGAAAUGCAGAGACACGGUCAAGGGCACCAAACUGUUUGUACACAUCAGCUAGAUGUAUCACCUGAUGAACUGUAAAUACAAUUUCUCCUUGACCAUAUAAAUCUCCAAAGCUUUUAACAAAUGCUGUUAGGACUCGAUUGGCAAAAUCAAUCAUGGGUGCAGAGAGGUUGGGGCUGAGUAAUAAGAACACACCCAUGGAAAACAACAGGAAGUUCUCAAAAAUCUCUUCUGGUAGAUUGUGCUUUAGGACCACAGGUCCACUGUAAAUCAUGAACUGCCUUAGUUCUGUAGCCUUCCAUCUUUCGAUCUCUGUCAGCUCUCGUGGUUUUCGGGCAAAUUCAGAUGGAAUAUGGGGACGGAGAGCAAUCAGUUUAGAUGAUAUAGCUGAGAUGACAUUAGAUGGCUGUCUUAUGGCCAGGUUCUUCCUUCAUCCAGAAAAGAAUGAGUUUUUUUGUUACACCCAAACAGCAGAGGUGCAUGUAAUCAAUGGGAAACUGGGUUACCAUCUGAACAAUGCCAGUAAGGGGACUAGGUCGCAGGUGGUGAUCUGUGUCUGACAUUAAAG